GAACGCUGGCGGCGUGCUUAACACAUGCAAGUCGAACUGAAGAGCGAUGGAAGCUUGCUUCGUAUCAAUCUUAGUGGCUGAACGGGUGAGUAACGCGUAAUCAACUUGCCCUUCAGAGGGGGACAACCAGUUGGAAACGACUGCUAAUGCCGCAUACGAUCUAAUCUCGGCAUCGAGGAAAGAUGAAAGGUGGCCUCUAUGUAUAAGCUAUCACUGAAGUGAGGGGAUUGCGUCUGAUUAGCUAGUUGGAGGGGUAACGGCCCACCAAGGCGAUGAUCAGUAGCCGGUCUGAGAGGAUGAACGGCCACAUUGGGACUGAGACACGGCCCAGACUCCUACGGGAGGCAGCAGUGGGGAAUCUUCCGCAAUGGACUGAAAGUCUGACGGAGCAACGCCGCGUGAGUGAUGACGGCCUUCGGGUUGUAAAGCUCUGUUAAUCGGGACGAAAGGCCUUCUUGCGAACAGUUAGAAGGAUUGACGGUACCGGAAUAGAAAGCCCGGCU
rnacentral:rRNA from 1 species